ACUCUAAAAAAUGCUGGGUUAUUUGUUUAACCCAACAGCUGGGUUGAGCCUGUUGGGUCAUUUUGUUGGGUUAUUUUCUCAGUGUUGGGUCAUUUUUUGAGUAACCCAAACGCUGGGUUAGCAGUCGGGUCCAAUUGAGUGACAGUUGAGAGAGUAAACCCCUCCCACUCCUCGACGCAUCAGACAAACUUUACCUUCGCGGGCAUUUUGAUCCACCUCAUCUCGGAAAGUUGUUAUUCGGAGAAGAAAAGGUAUGUUUACGAGUUUUUAAUGUAUAAAACUAUUACUGUACAAAAAAAAAUGCAAAAGUAUGCAAAAUUCGGCUGUUCGCAUUAGGUUUGAAAAGUAACGUUAAUCUAGCUUCGUUAGCUUUGUAUAGCUAGUCUGUAACGUUAUGCCCACGUUGUUCUAAUUUACAGCUUUUUAAUCAUUUAAACUUCCUUUUUGGUGAACAUUUCCUCUGAAAUGUGUGACUUGUGUGAGGAAUUUAGUUCAGUAACUUACGCAACUUGAUAUUAGUUUAAGGUCGACACGAGAGCGUCGUGUCAAAAGCAAACAUCCAGCUCAUUUUUUUAUUUUAAAUACCGCUAAUGUUCGGUGAGGGAACUUAGUUUAAAUAGUCUUUUAGACGAGAAUUUAGUUGUUAAGAACACAAAUACGUGAUUUAUAUAUAAACAUAACGCCUCUUUGAGAUUUUGUUAAGACGCUGUCGGAGGUGUGAGCUUCAGGCUGUCAGCGGUCGUGGCUCAGUGGAGAGCAGCUCUAUCUCGGCCAUUGCCUCGGGAGUAGCCGCUCUUAUAACGUUGCAGAAUAACAGCUAAUAUUAAUGGAUCAUUCUAUUCAAGAGAAAGUCAACUGGAACUUGGAUAUUUUCAUAACAGGCUUAAAGAUGAACAAAUUGAUAAAGAAACCCUCCUGCUGAACAUCCACUUCCAAAAGUGCACGCCACACUGUUGUCUACAACUCCCAGGAAAAGAAUCCUCUUUAGUAAGACUGCUCCGUGGAUAUGUCAGGUUAAGCAGUGCUGAAACCGAAAGAACUAACGCUCUUUAAAAUGUUUUGUGAGUUUAUAUGAAGAGGAAAGUUACGGUGUCCCUUUUUCACAUCCAUAACGCUUGUUUAUUUCUUUUUUUAUAGAAAACUUGUGCAUAGACUGAUAUUUUAUCAUAUAAAUGCGGUUCUAUCAACAAGGGUUUAGUAAAAUACUUUUUAUAGUGUUUUUAUGUCGCAUCCAUAACGCUGGAAUUGCCCUAAAGCAUUUUACUCGUGCCACUUUGUUAACUGUAUAUGAAUUUUUGAAGUGUUAAGUUGUCUAACUAUUUAUAUUUACUUGUGCCACUUUAAUAACCUUGUUAAAUGUAUAUGUUAAAAUCUAAACUAAUGUAAUUUAUUGAAGUUAAUUUUCCUUAAAUAUGUAUAAACAUACAUUUCAUCAAAGUGUUUUAUAUGCCAUUUUAUUGUUCAUUGAGCAUAACAUAUUGCAUGUUUUUAUGAAUUCCUUUUGUUUUGCAUUUUGAUCCUUAAUAAAACUUUUGAUUCUUA